rnacentral:miRNA from 1 species
GCUAUCGAUGUCCAAGCUGAGCUACAAAUUCUCUAAGAGGCAGAAAAGCAG